rnacentral:misc_RNA from 1 species
GUCCUGAUGAUAUGGCGAGCCUCGCCGUCCACGUUUCUCUUUCUUCUCUAAGACAAAAACCGCGUCGACUUUAGCGAGCGCAUGGGUCUCCGGAUGGUCAAUGAUCUGCUGUGGGACCGGUUGCUGACUAAGAAUGGGACGGUACCUCAGUUGGUUAGAGCACACGCUUGAUAAGCGUGGGGUCGGAAGUUCAAGUCUUCCCGGGCCCGCCAGCCUUCGCCCUUUUGGGCUAUGGUUUGGCGAGCCGGGAGUGAUUUGACGGAUGCGAUGUGGUUAUGUUGCCGAGCCGAUGGAAUGAUCCGUUGGGUGUCGAGCUGGAUGGGGCUGUAGCUCAGCUGGGAUAGCACCUGCUUUGCUAUCAGGGGGUCAGCGGUUCGAUCCCACUCAGCUCCACUAUUGUUUUGUUCUGACUCUGUCGCAUCUUUGGCGCUGCGCUCCGGACGGGACGCCGCCCUACGAUUAAAUCGAGGGGAGAUCGGCGAUAGACCUCUGGCCUGUGUGGUUGGACGUAACGAAGUUUGUCUUCUGAAGAAAUAAAGGUUUGCAUCGGCUUUGAGCUGGAUGCGUGCUCUGCAUACCUUGUGAAGAGAAGAUAGAUCUGGAGGCUUUCAGGCGUUCUGAGCGACCACAAUGUUGUUCAAGGCAUCCCAGACCCGACCGUAUGAUAUCGAGGAUAGGCUAGCCGGAUGGAAACUAACGAGGCGACAGAGGUAGGAAAGAAGCUUGUCGCUCUUGAUUGGCAGCGUAGCUCUAGCAGGUUAUUUACGCAUGUAGAUGGCCUUCUCCGAAUGGCUGUGACCGCAAUCCGAUUACCGUUCGCUGACCGCGCGGUAUCAGAUCCGAUCCCGAGAAGCUGGGCUUAAGAUAGAUAGCAAGCGAAAUGCUCUGGGUAUUUCCAUAAA